UUGGGACCAAACGAGUUCUUCGUAUCUUUGCUUUGUUGUUGUGAGUUUUUUUUUAUGAGUUGGUAGGCUAGUGUAUUUUUACAGAACUUUACGGAUCCAAGAAGCUACUUGAAAAAUAGAUGUUUGAUACUUUACUUCACGAAGUUUAUGCUAGAUUAAAAAAACUAUUCCUUACAGAAGAAUGUUGGUCAUCAUUAUCCGAUUUAGAUUGGGCUUUGCAUUGAGUAUUUCCUCGUCAUAUAGUCUCCUUGGGGACCGUAUUUUCAAAGAUGUCCGUUGCUGACCUAGCUGCCAUGAGCAUCAGUCUGUCAAGAUGUCCAUUGCUGACCUAGCUGCCAUGAGGAUCGUAGUUUGUCAAGAUGUCCAUUGCUGACCUAGCUGCCAUGAGGAUCGUAGUUUGCCAAGAUGUCCAUUGCUGACC